rnacentral:misc_RNA from 1 species
ACAAGGAUGAGAUUGUUUCAAAAGUGUUGCUAGCGUCAAGUGGAACACAUCUAUCACAGUAUAACUGUUUAUUGCAGUGUUCAAGAUACAUUCUUUACGGAAAGUACACUAGAAACGACUUAAAAAUUUCAUCUUUUAAAGAAAGUAUUCUAAAGUAUUUCUAAAAUGAGAUUGGCUAUUGUAGAGUUUGUUUUUACAAUUCUCAUUUAUUGGACCACACUUUCAAUAGGCGAUAUUCAUUUGACUAUGAAAAACUACGUGGACAAAUCAAUUCAAUUUCAGUGUAAAGAUGACAUUUCUUUAAACUUCUCCAACACAGUGAUUUCUUAUAUUAACCAGGAUUUCAUCAGUAAUCCAAUAAUCACUUGCCUCAAUCUUAUAGGCAGUAAUAUUGAGGAUAUUGAAAAAGGCGCUUUUAAUAAGCUUCCCAAUUUAACUCAUUUGUUUCUUUCUAAUAAUAAUCUCGACGGAAAUAAACUCUUUAAUUUUGGAACACACAAUAAGUUACAAGUUCUUAUUAUGAAUAAAGUAAUAAAACCAGAAACGUAUAGUCGUUGCACAUGUAUACAGCCCUUUUGUGAAAUGUACGACAUGCAUGAAUCUAACAUAACAGUAACAGUUCAGGUUGUUGACGAAUAUCCCAAUUUAGAAAUUUUGUCUCUUCAUGCAAAUUGUUUAGAAAAUUUACAAUCUUUUCCAUUAAUGGAAGAAACAACCUCAUAUUAUUCGUUAAAACCGUUACAUUAUCGUAAUUUUGAGUUAAAAAAUAAUAAAAUAACUUCGAAAGUUACGCAAGUUGUAUUUCCCAAGUUAAAGAUCCUGGAUCUCUCCGAAAACAGGAUAAAUAGGACAAAUUUUAUAAAUUUGUUGUCAAAUAGCUUAUACUUUCUUGAUCUUCACGAUAAUUUGGUUAACUCUUUGAGUUUAAAUAAAAAAGGAAACAAUUUGUUUGCACUUAAUUUAGAUAACAAUAAUUUUAAAUACAUUAGUUAUCAGAAUAACAAAAAAAACCCAAGUCUAUCGAUGGCUGGUUUAAAGAAUUUGCAUUAUCUUUCUGUUUUUAACAACAGGAUUAACGUUAUUGCGUCAGAUGCUUUUCAAGACAACGACAAAUUAUUCUACUUAAACUUAUCUUCAAAUAAUAUAAAUUAUAUAUAUCCGGACACAUUUGCAAAUUUGCAAUACUUAAAAACGCUCGAUCUGAGUAUUAACAAACUCAACAAUGUUAUACGUAUCUCAAAGGAAAUAGAAAUCAACACCUUGUAUAUUAAUUACAAUAACAUAACAAAAUUAUUCUCAUAUUCCUUCGUGCAAAUGCCAAAAUUGACGAAAUUGUUAUUAGGACAAAAUAAAAUUGAUGAGAUUGAUGUUAAUGCAUUUGAUCUUCUUUUUAACCUAGAAGAGUUAGAUCUUUCGGCAAAUAUGUUACGUUUUCUGCCUCAAAACUGGACAGAUUCUCUUGUGUCAAUAAAAUAUUUGGACUUAAGUGAUAAUCAAUUCAUGUCACUGAAGGAUUUAUCGUUGUCGAAUACAUCACCAUUGAUAGAAAUAUAUUUUAUAAGGAAUUCAUUAAAAUAUUUAAAUGUUGCAUAUUUUAUUGAGAAUUUACCGCAAAAUCUUACUAUUAACUUGACAAACCGCUCAAAUUUUACAAAAUGGAUAUGGCCCACUUGGGGAAACAAUUAUUAUAAAAAUAUUCUAAAUCAAGAAAACUAUGAUGAAUACUUGGACGAAUCUUAAGAUGUCUUCAAGAUGUCUCGAAGACAUUUCUAAAAGAUAUCUAAAAGAAAUCUAAGAAGAUUUUGUUAAAGAUAUGUUUAUAGAAUUUUUAAAAGAUAUCUAAAAGACAUAUAUCUUAAAAGAUGUCUUUAAAAUUUUCGAACUAGACAUGCCAAAGAUAUCUAAAUAAAAAAUCUAUAUAAGAUAUUAUACUUAAUAUAUUAUACUUAAAUAUUAUAUGUAUAUUAUAUAUACUCCUACAUAAAAUGUUUUAUUUAAAAAUAGUGUUUCGCAUUCAUAAGAUUUUAUUGUAAAGUCUGCUUUGCAAAAAUCUCGGAUUGAAUUGUAACCAAUAUUUUUCAAUGCGAUAUUAAGAACAAAAAUUUUGUAUGCCUUUGAAUCCGAUAACAAUUAGCAGAAGUAAAUCUUUUUUAAUGCAAAGAUUCGUAUUUAUUUGAAUGCGUCGUGAUUGAAUGUGAAGAAUUCAGAAGACAUUUAGAAGAUAUUUAAUUGAAUAUUUUUUUUAAUACUUCAGAAUUCUUCUGAAUUCUGCUUUUUGAUAAAUGUCCAUAUUUUUUAAUUUGUUUCAAUCCGAUGUUUUAUGCAGAGUCUACAUAUAAUAACAUGCAAUAUUGUUUACUCAAAUAUUAAAUAUAUGCUCUAUAACAUGUAAUAAAUGUAAUAAUGUAUAUGAUCUAUAUAAUAACAUAUGUAAUAUUAUAAAUAUGUUACAAUAAUAUAUAUAUAUAUUAUAUAAAUAUAUUUAACAAUAUUAAUAUUUCUUUAAUAAGUACUUUAGGUACCUUAUUAUAGAGAUAUAUAAAAUAAGCUACCUUAGAUCUCUAUUUAUACAAAUAAUAUUUUCAGAAAAUCCCUGUAAUGUUGUAUUAAUGUUAAUAUCACAUUACUGCAAUGAUAAAAGGUUGCUGUAAUGUUAUAUUUUUUCGGCUUAAAUUUUCUUUAAAUUUAUUUAAUUUAUACAAAUACAUAUUGCAAAUAAUAUCUAUUUUAACUAAAAUUCUGCAUUAGUACAGCUAUCCUAUCCUAUCCUAUCUUCUCCUUUUUUAAAAUAGCCAUGUAACCCUAAAGUUGCCGCUUUAUUCCGAUCGUGAUUGGCUGUCUCGCUUGACUCGCUUCGUGUGCGAGAGUCGGGGUUUGACUGUUUAGUCAAGAGUAGCUGUCAUUGCGAUUGAAUUUUGACAACUGUCAAAUUUGGUGAAAAGAGGCAAUCAACUACGACUUACCUGAACUGGCGAUGAAAACGGCAAGAUAAUUUGUAGAAAUUCAAGAUUCAUCGUAAUAGAAUUAAGAAGAUGAACAAUAUCCACAAUUGCUGAAAGUAAUCACCAUAAUUGUCCAGAAAAUAGUCUGUUAAAUAAUCAGAUGGUCAUAUUUAAGUUGAAAUCAGAUAAGGAUUGACGAAUAAGACGAUGAAGGAAUGUUUAAUGUUUAGAAUGAAGGAAAAUUAAGAAAAAAUACACAAUUAAUGUGUGAUAUAGACAGUGUAUUUCGAUUUUGCCGAAGUAACCGGAAUUAUCUGAACAAAGGCUCGCUUUAAAUUUUAUGAGCUUCGGAGGAAAUGCGUUACGGAAUUUCAGGAAGUCAAAACUAUGGUGUCAUCAUCGACUGAUGUACAAGACAAACGAUAGAUCAGGUUAUGACACGUAUGCCGGUAAGACAAUGUUUGCAAUCGAAAACAAGGAAGAAAUAAUAGAGAAGUUUCUCCAAACAACAUGUAUAAAUAUGAAACAAUCUCUCAAAUCCCUAACGGUAAAAAAAUAGUUUGUUAACGGCAUGUAUAAUCAAAUACGCGCGGAUCAAUUUUUUUGUUCCGCGAUAUUUAUCUUUUUUAUCGUUUACUUUAAUUUUAUUGUUUGUAAUAAUUUUAUUAUUUUGUUAGCUAUAUAUGUAUAUAUAUAUAUAUAUUUUUUUUUUAAUAAACCUGUUGAAUUUGGGCAAAUUUUUAAUUUUCGCUCCAAGAACGCUCCAAACUUCAACUACAAAUAUAUGUAUAUGUAUGUAGAGAGAUACAUAUGUAUACAUAUAAUAGAUAUAUAUCCCUGCAAAUGAAAGGCAACUUUCUUAGGGCGUCUAUGUAUACGCCUUUCGCAAUUGAAGGAUUAAUAUACAAGGUCAGUACGUGCAUUCGAACAUUUCGAAUCAGUCAACUUUUUUACAACAAAUACAUUAUCAAGAUAUUAUUCACUAUGAUAUUAACAAGGGAAGGUCUCCCCAACUC